GGGCGGGACACGUGAUAUCCUGUCUGAAUAUGGGGGGACCAUCCUCCAAGGCUAAAUACUCCUGACUGACCGAUAGUGAACCAGUACCGUGAGGGAAAGGCGAAAAGAACCCCUGUGAGGGGAGUGAAAUAGAACCUGAAACCGUGUACGUACAAGCAGUAGGAGCACCUUCGUGGUGUGACUGCGUACCUUUUGUAUAAUGGGUCAGCGACUUAUAUUCAGUGGCAAGGUUAACCGUAUAGGGGAGCCGUAGCGAAAGCGAGUCUUAACUGGGCGCUCAGUCUCUGGAUAUAGACCCGAAACCGGGUGAUCUAGCCAUGGGCAGGUUGAAGGUUGAGUAACAUCAACUGGAGGACCGAACCGACUAAUGUUGAAAAAUUAGCGGAUGACUUGUGGCUAGGGGUGAAAGGCCAAUCAAACUCGGAGAUAGCUGGUUCUCCCCGAAAGCUAUUUAGGUAGCGCCUCGGACGAAUACUACUGGGGGUAGAGCACUGUUAAGGCUAGGGGGUCAUCCCGACUUACCAACCCUUUGCAAACUCCGAAUACCAGUAAGUACUAUCCGGGAGACACACGGCGGGUGCUAACGUCCGUCGUGGAGAGGGAAACAACCCAGACCGCCAGCUAAGGUCCCAAAGUAUUGCUAAGUGGGAAACGAUGUGGGAAGGCUCAGACAGCUAGGAUGUUGGCUUAGAAGCAGCCAUCAUUUAAAGAAAGCGUAAUAGCUCACUAGUCGAGUCGGCCUGCGCGGAAGAUGUAACGGGGCUAAGCA
rnacentral:rRNA from 1 species